rnacentral:lncRNA from 1 species
AUGACCUUGGAUCUCCCCCGGUGCUCGGCGCAGGGUAAGCGCUUAAUGACCAUCAUCAUCAUCAACACCCCCAAACGCUCAGUACAGUGCUUAGCACGCAGUAGGCGCUUCACCCCUACUAUUCAUAGUAUUGGGGUGAUGAUGAUGAUGAUGGAGGAGCUCCAGCCGCCCCCUCCCCCAGACUCCCAUAAUUCCCUGGGUCUCGGGUGAAGCCCCCCAACCAGAGUCCCAUAAUUCCCUGGGUUUCGGGUGAAGCCCCCUCCUCAUCCAAACCCCCAUAAUUCCCUGGGUCUCGGGUGAAGCCCCCCAACCAGACUCCCAUAAUUCCCUGGGUCUCGGGUGAAGCCCCCGAACCAGACUCCCAUAAUUCCUUGGGUCUCGGGUGAAGCCCCCCAACCAGACUCCCAUAAUUCCCUGGGUCUCGGGUGAAGCCCCCCAACCAGACUCCCAUAAUUCCCUGGGUCUCGGGUGAAGCCCCCCAGACUCCCAUAAUUCCCUGGGUCUGAGGUGAAGCCCCCUCCUCAUCCAAACUCCCACAAUUCCCUGGGUCUCGGGUGAAGCCCCCCAACCAGACUCCCAUAAUUCCCUGGGUCUCAGGUGAAGCCCCCCAACCAGACUCCCAUAAUUCCUUGGGUCUCGGGUGAAGCCCCCCAACCAGACUCCCAUAAUUCCCUGGGUCUCGGGUGAAGCCCCCCAGACUCCCAUAAUUCCCUGGGUCUGAGGUGAAGCCCCCUCCUCAUCCAAACUCCCACAAUUCCCUGGGUCUCGGGUGAAGCCCCCCAACCAGACUCCCAUAAUUCCCUGGGCCUCAGGUGACCCCCCCCCCAACGAGACUCCCAUAAUUCCCCGGGCCUGAGGUGAAGCCCCCUCCUCAUCCAAACUCCAACAAUUCCCUGGGUCUGAGGUGAAGCCCCCCCCAUCCAAACUCCCACCAUUCCCUGGGUCUGAGGCGAAGCCCCCUCCUCAUCCAGACUCCCAUAAUUCCCUGGGUCUCGGGUAAAGCCCCCUCCCCAUCCAAACCCCCACAAUUCCCUGGGUCUCGGAUGAAGCCCCCCAGACUCCCAUAAUCCCCUGGGUUUCAGGUGAAGCCCCCUCCUCAUCCAGACCCCCAUAAUUCCCCGGGUCUGAGGUGAAGCCCCCUGCUCAGCCUCCCCCCACAAUCCCCCUCGUCGUCCAUGAACCCCCCCCGGCCGACUCCCACCAUUCCCCUUGUCUUCUACGAAGCCCCCCUCAG